CAUCCUCAGGCGAAGCUGCCUGAUCUGCGCUAGACGAGUUCUUUUUUUCUUUUACUACAGCAACAGCUCUCUCUCUCUCUCUCUCUACCUCUCUCUCUCUUCCUCUCUCUCUCCCCCUGUUCCUCCGAUGAGGCUCCCGCGGAGGACAGUGGCACCCUCUCCUCCACUCUUCCCGCGUGCGGACACUGCGUAAAGAGCGAGACGGUAACAGAGUGCGAGGGGACUUGGAACACGAGGAGAAAACGCAUCAAGAUUUAUGCCGUCUGAAUAGCAAAGUGAGUGCUCCCCUCGAUGUUUGAUCCCGCUGAGUGCUCCCCAACUGAUACAUGGCCCACCCACAGGACCGCCGCGUGCUCCCCUGACGUUCCUCUCCUCUUAGUUCCCCGGUAAGACAGACAUCCCACCCCCCCCUCCCCUCCUCUCCCCUGCCACCGCCACCACCACCACUACCAUCUCCACACGCCUCUACUCCGCCGCACACCUCCCCCCGUGACCGCGCCAUGCCAGUGGGGGUUCGGCCUCUCCUGCUGGCCCUGAUGGGGGCCAGGCUGCUGCUGCCGUCCGGCAGCGACUCCCCGCGGCGUGAGAUCAAGAUCGACGGCGACCUGGUGCUCGGCGGCCUCUUCCCCAUCCACGAGAAGGGCCAGGGCAUGGACGAGUGCGGCCGCAUCAACGAGGACCGCGGCAUCCAGCGUCUGGAGGCCAUGCUGUUCGCCAUCGACCGCAUCAACGAGGACAUGUCGCUGCUGCCCGGCGUCCAGCUGGGCGUGCACAUCCUGGACACGUGUUCGCGCGACACCUACGCCCUGGAGCAGGCCCUGGAGUUUGUGCGCGCCUCGCUCACCAAGGUGGACGACACGGAGUUCAUCUGCCCCGACGGCUCGUACGCGCUGCAGGAGGACAGCCCGCUCGCCAUCGCUGGAGUCAUCGGCGGAUCCUACAGCAGCGUGUCCAUACAGGUUGCCAACUUGCUGCGUCUCUUCCAGAUACCCCAGAUCAGCUAUGCGUCCACCAGCGCUAAGUUGAGCGACAAGAGCCGCUAUGACUACUUUGCCCGCACGGUCCCGCCCGACUUCUACCAGGCCAAGGCCAUGGCCGAGAUCCUGCGCGUCUUCAACUGGACCUACGUGUCCACGGUGGCGUCGGAGGGCGACUACGGUGAGACAGGCAUCGAGGCCUUCGAGCAGGAGGCGCGCCUGCGCAACAUCUGCAUCGCCACGUCCGAGAAAGUGGGCCGUUCCAGCUCCAAGCGCUCGUCCUACGAGGCGGUGGUGCGGCAGCUGCAGCAGAAGCCCAACGCGCGCGUGGCCGUCCUCUUCCUGCGCAGCGAUGACGCCCGCGAGCUGCUGGCCGCCGCUGCCCGCCUCAACGCCUCCUUCCUGUGGGUGGCCAGCGACGGUUGGGGCGCCCAGGAGAGCAUCGUCAAGGGCAACGAGGCCACGGCCGACGGCGCCAUCACGCUGGAGCUGGCCGCGCAUGCCGUCCCCGAGUUCAACCGGCACUUCAUGCGGCUGCAGCCCGAGAACAACGCGCGGAACCCCUGGUACCGGGACUUCUGGGAGCAGAAGUUCCAGUGCUCACUUGGGGGCAGUAACAGCGGCGGAAGCAAUGGUGGUGGCGGCAGCGUCACUCUCGGCGCGUCUCUGAAGCCGUGCGAUCACGGCCUGGCCGUGGAUGAGUCCAACUUCGAGCCUGAGUCCAAGAUCAUGUUCGUGGUGAACGCGGUGUACGCCAUGGCGCAUGCGCUCCACCGCAUGCAGAGGGCACUCUGCUCCAACACCACACUCCUCUGCGACGCCAUGCGCAGCCUGGAUGGCAGGAAGCUCUACAGGGACUUCCUGCUUAACGUCAGCUUCCGAGCUCCUUUCUCCCCCCCUGGCACGGAGAGCGUGGUGAAGUUCGACGCCUAUGGCGACGGCAUGGGCCGCUACAACAUCUACAACUACCAGCGCUCUCCAGGCGGCGAGCGCUACAGCUACGUGCAGGUGGGCGAGUGGGCCGAGACGCUCUCCCUCAACGAGGCCCUGAUUGGCUGGCCGCGCAGCGGCGCCGUGCCCACCUCGCAGUGCAGUGACCCGUGCGCCCGCAACGAGAUGAAGAAGAUGCAGGCGGGCGAAUACUGCUGCUGGAUCUGCACCCCGUGCGAGCCAUACGAGUAUCUGUCCGACGAGUUCACGUGUGCGCCCUGCCCACCAGGCCAGUGGCCCAACGAGGACCUGAGCGGCUGCUACGACCUGCCCGAGGACUACAUCAUGUGGGAGGACGCCUGGGCCAUCGGGCCCAUCACCAUCGCCUGCCUGGGCUUCCUCUGCACGCUGCUGGUGUUCGGCGUGUUUGUGCGGCACAACGACACGCCGCUGGUCAAGGCGUCAGGCCGCGAGCUCUGCUACAUCCUCCUCCUGGGCGUCUUCAUGUCCUACGUCAUGACGUUCGUGUUCAUCGCCAAGCCGUCGCCGGCCAUUUGCACGCUGCGGCGCCUGGGCCUGGGCACGUCCUUCGCUGUCUGCUACUCGGCGCUGCUCACCAAGACCAACCGCAUCUCCCGCAUCUUCAACGGCGUCAAGGAGGGCGCGCAGCGGCCACGCUUCAUCAGCCCAAGCUCGCAGGUCUUCAUCUGCCUCUCGCUCAUCUCCGUCCAGCUGCUGCUGGUGUCCGUGUGGAUGCUGCUGGAGGUGCCCGGCACGCGACGCUUCACGCUGCCCGAGCGGCGGCAGACGGUCAUCCUCAAGUGCAACGUGCGCGACUCCAGCAUGCUGCUGUCGCUCUCCUACGACGUGCUGCUGGUCGUGCUGUGCACCGUCUACGCCUUCAAGACGCGCAAGUGCCCCGAGAACUUCAACGAGGCCAAGUUCAUCGGCUUCACCAUGUACACCACCUGCAUCAUCUGGCUGGCGUUCCUGCCCAUCUUCUAUGUCACCUCGAGCGACUACAGGGUCCAAACCACCACCAUGUGCAUCUCGGUCAGUCUGAGCGGCUUUGUGGUCCUGGGCUGCAUGUUCGCUCCGAAGGUCCACAUCAUCAUGUUCCAGCCCCAGAAGAAUGUGACCAGCCAUCGGCUCAACCUCAACCGCUUCAGCGUCAGUGGACCGGCCACCACGUAUGCGUCACACGAUCGAGGAGGUGACAGACACUGCAAAGAAGGGGAACGUGGGUGAGAUCUUAGACAGGCACCCGCUGAGAGAAAGGCAGAAGGGGGGGGAGUUGGGGAGCAGGAAAUGGAGAAGCCUCAGUAAGUGCUCACUACGUUCCGACCGUCUGUAAUGGCAGAGAGAUUGUUGACUCCACCACGUCCUCCCUGUGACUCCGCUCUUCUCUGACUGACUGCUUUGCAGCGACUGUUAGCCAAUCAGCACACUUUGUGCUCCAUCCAUGAACUAGCUCCCGCCCACAGUAUGUAGAAAAAACAAGGUGUAUUAUUAUUGUUACUAUGAAGAUGAUUGAUGUUGUUAAAUUAUUUUUUAGGGGCCUGUACAUAUUAACUGACAUUGUUGUAGAGAAACGAAAGAACAAAAAAAAAAACUUUCUAGGAUGAUUUUGGAAACUUUGUUUUCUUUUUUGAUAGCUUUGUUAUGUAUGUAUUGUACGUUGUAUAUAACCAUGAACUCCCAUUGUUGUAUGGAGUAUUUUUGAUUGGACGUAGUCACCAGAUUGAUCUGGUACGCCUGCAAUAUUGGACAGACUUACCGUACUUUUGUUUUGUUUUCUUUUGUUUUUUCUUCUCUGUUUUGUAGAGCUCAUUGUAAUAAUAAACAUGUAUGUAUUUGUAUGUUGUAAAUAAUUUGUAUAUACUAUUGAAGAUGGUUUGAACAGCACAAGCUGACAGCAUUAAACAAACUGAGAAGAGGCCCAGCAAGCAAAGAGAGGGUGCUGCUGAGUUUUCACCGUUGCCCUAGGAAGACUGCCAGCGUGUGAGGCGAGCUGGUGUGUUUGCUGAAAGAGAGGCUGGACUCCCUUUGACAUCUGAGGUAGGGAUAUGUAGGGAUUAGUGCGUACCCAUGCCUCCACAGUCUGUGGUAUCAUCGCUACACCACAUGGGAAAUGAUUGUUUUUUAGUUUGUUUGUUUUUUUUGGUAAAAGCGUUAAUGUUGUGUUAAAAGACACUUCUCUGUGCCUUACCGUACGUCUUGUAGUUUUUUCUACGCUGGCUUCUACUGUACAGGUUGCGUGUGCAUGUAGAAUUGAGGGAGGCUGGGCCAGCUUUAUACAGAGGAAGGGAUUUUACAUUCACCCAUUUUUACAUAUUUCUCUGGCCAUAUCUAUUGGCCAUAUUUACAUAUUUCUCUCUUGAGUUUAAAAAACACAUACUGUAUGAAAACUGUCACAUACUGCCAAUUCAGUUCAAAUACCAGAUAGAGUCUUAUCCUUGGAACAUUUGCCAAACCAUCUGUUUUGUUGAUGCAUCUAUCAAUGUGACAAAUUUAAGAUAUGUACAAUAAUACCUUUGUAGCUAGAUGAUAUUGUGAACAACAGCUAACACAGUCCUAGCACAAUGUGUCCUAAUAUUUAAUAGGAAAUGCAAUGAUUGCAGCUGGUUGAUGACUGUAUGUGGUCAAAAUGAAGUAAACAUAAGCACAGCCUUGAGACAACUACUGGAGAUGUUACAAAAAAAUAAACCUUUUUUUGGCCUGGUGUCUGGUCUUCCUGUUAGCCCAUGAUUCCAGACAGACUUACUCUUUUCGGUUUCCAAAUGGAAUUUAACGAUGGAGACAAACUGGUAACUACUCCUUCACAGAUCAGAGAGGAAGUACUUGAGUAGGUCUCAAGGAGGAUCACAUUGCACGUGCAAACGACAGCGCUGCGCUAUGAAACCCAUUAUUUUCAAUGGUUCGCGCGCGCAAGAACUGAUCUGCCGCUGCGCCGAGCAAAGUGCAGCGCAAACGGCAUGUUGCCACUUUGCUGCUCAUGCGCGUGCUGCAGUCUAAGUUCAAUCAUGUUGAACUUUGUCUGUGGCGCUCUGUAAAUCAUAGGCAUGUUGCGCUGAACCCGGCGGCAAGCACAACAAAAAUCUUUGGGACAUUACCUCAACCAAGAGCAACAUAGUGGCGAGCGCAGCACAUACCGCAUGCAAUGAGAUCCCCCUUUCAAUUGUGUUUUUGAAAAAAAAAAUAUAUAUAUAUACCAAACACAGUAGCCCAACAAGAACAGACGAGAGUGUGUAGUAUGAAAGAAAAAGAGGAAGAGAUAGAGAGAGAGAAGGAGUAAAAUCUUCCUUCACCCCCCGUGGCAGCCUAAAAGAAUGGGCUGUGAGUGUUUUUGCAGACAGGCAACAGUGGGUUAUGUAAAGCAGCAUUCAGCCUCAGGCUGUCAGGCAGCCCUCUGAGGAAAAGCUCUGUCUUACAGUCAGGGCCGCAGCUCUUUGUAGUGCAGGCAGCCAGGCAGGCAGGCAGUGUGUCCAUCCAGCCCCAUGAAAAAAUCUCCAUCUUCACUGAGGCUCCAGGCUUAUGGAGCAGCCAUCCACCUCCCCCACAUCUGCUGCCGCUGCUGAUGUUUCAUUUCUGUUCCUUUAUCAGGUAGUGUUGGGUGAGGAGGACUAGAUCUAGAUCCAGGUCUAGUAGAGCCAAUAGAAAUAAUAAUUGUUGUAAUAUACUGUACUUUUAUAAUGAUAGCAGAUAGGGAGUUGAACAUAAAGGCGUGCGUGUCUACACAGUAUAGAGAAGCAGAUGGAAACAGGCCAGAAUUGAGUUUCAAGCUACAGGCAGAAAAUCACACUCUCCUUCACAAUAUGAAACUCAACCACACAGACAUUCAAACAUGGAAAUGCACAAAGUGAACAAGUUAAGUCAGAGGGUUGUAAAUGACUUGACCUAAAAAUGAAUGUGUUUGUAUAUGUGAUGAUGAACUGGAGCCACAGUUUCUAGAGUAACAUGUUUUGACAACAAAGUUUCAUUAUUUUACGUUUGUGAUGUUGUGUUUCUCAUGCAGACUGAUGAUGUGUAAUGAACCUGGAUCAUGUGCUGUCUCCAGUCUGAUGUUGGAACUGUGACAUAAGCACAAAGCAAUAGGACAGUGCAAUAACACGGACACAAUGGCAUCAUAAUAAACAGUAACAAGCU